AUUGAACGCUGGCGGCAUGCCUUACACAUGCAAGUCGAACGGCAGCACGGGAGCAAUCCUGGUGGCGAGUGGCGAACGGGUGAGUAAUAUAUCGGAACGUGCCCAGUCGUGGGGAUAACGUAGCGAAAGCUACGCUAAUACCGCAUACGAUCUAUGGAUGAAAGCGGGGGAUCGCAAGACCUCGCGCGAUUGGAGCGGCCGAUAUCAGAUUAGGUAGUUGGUGAGGUAAAGGCUCACCAAGCCGACGAUCUGUAGCUGGUCUGAGAGGACGACCAGCCACACUGGGACUGAGACACGGCCCAGACUCCUACGGGAGCAGCAGUGGGGAAUUUUGGACAAUGGGCGCAAGCCUGAUCCAGCAAUGCCGCGUGCAGGAUGAAGGCCU
rnacentral:rRNA from 1 species